UCAAUCGCUGUGAUUAUGUAAUGCAGACUAGGCAGCAAUUGAUUUAAUGAAUGAAGCUGAUUCAUUGCCCUGAAGCAAGCCAAGAAAGAAAAGUAUGAUUCAAUAGCCCUGCUGGGAAGUCGGCAGUGAUGAGUUCCUCACAAGCCAAGAGGAGCUCAGAAGUGUUGGGAUGGCAAUUAGCUUACUGUGUAGAUCACUAAACACAAUGAGCUCUGAUUCUGUACCAGUUCUGAGGCAUGAGAAAGUUACAGAGCACAAGGAUGCCCAGCUUCUGUGUAACUAGGGGGCUGGGGGUGACCACAGCUGCCAUCAGAACUGGCUGCAUGGUGCAGGGGAAAAAUAAUUGACCUGGGUAUCUGAAAACCUGGAUUCCAGUUCUUCCUUCAAACAUCAGCAGACACCUCUCAGUUCCCUAAAUCCUUAUAACUCUAUUCAGCUUUCAGAUUUCACAGUGAGACAAUAUUAUGGAUAUGUUCAUAAUCUUGAAAAAUCUUCUAGGAAUGUCCUAAGACUUGAGACUGGGGAACCCUGGUGUUCUUGGUCCUUGCAAGCACUUGAGUCUUCAUGUUGCAGCUUUUCUCCUGGUUAUGACCCUGAAGCAAAGAACACCAUGCUCUCAUCUUCUGAGGAGAGAUGGGAGUCCAGGCCCCAUUCUCUCACUUACUACCUAUAUGAAAGAAGCUGAAGAAACCACUCUCUCCUGUGAAAUGCCACUGGAACUCUGCCUAGGAAGAGUACUAACUUUGCAAAAAUAUCCUGCAAGCCUGCUUAGAAUAAAUGAACCUUGAGGACAGGGGUCAAAAUAUCAGAGGACAGGGAUGAACUACUCUGUCUGAAAAGAGAAGUGGCUUCAUUUUUUUUCUUUUUUUUUUUUUUUGAGACAGCAUCUCCCUUUGUUGCCCAAGCUGGAAUGCAGUGGUGUGAUCACUGUGGCCUCAACCUCUUGGGCUCAAGCGAUCCUCUCACCUCAGCCUCCCGAGUAGCUGGGACUACAAGUGUGCAUCACUAUACCUGGCUAUUUAAAAAAUUUUUGUUGUAGGCAUGGCAUCUCACUAUGUUUCCCAGGCUGGUCUCAAAAUGCUUGGCUCAAGCUAUCCUCCUGCUUUGGCCUCCCAAAGUGCUAAGAUUACAGAAGUGAGCCACUGUGCCAGCCUGUUUAACUCUUAAAUGGAGGUGACUAAUGGGAGAAUGGGUGGUGGUGGUGGUGGGGUGUGAGAUAGUAUGACACUGUGAAAGUCACAGGUGAAAUUUCUCUGGAAAUUUCUAUUGGAAGAUGGGGUUUGAUCAUACCUACCAGUUUGCCUGGAUAUUCUGAUUCAUUCCAGGUGUUCUGGCAUAAGUAUUAAUACUGCCAACUUUCAUGCCCAAGAAAGUGCCAGUUUGGAGGUAAAUUAUCUGGUAACCAUUCCACAGAGUUGUGAAAAUUAAUGAUAAAACUUGUAUAAACAUGCUUUGUGAAUUAUAAAGCACUGUACAAAUAAAAGGAAUUAAGGGACUUAAGUUCUUUUAUUGAAUUCUCCUGUUAGAGACAAACAAAUGUGUCUAAAAUUGUUAAAAUUGUUAUCAGUCUGUUAUUGGACUGAGAUCUAUUUGGAUUUCCAUAAAAAUAAACCUGCAAGAAAAAUAAUUUUAUUUUAAGGUAGCUUAGCAUGUGCUUAACCACUUUCUAGAUUAAAUUCCUUUCUGUGGUCUGUUCUGGAUUCUCACAUGUAUGCUACAGGUUUUCCGCUGUUUUUGUUUUUUUUCAAAUUUAUGAGUCCUUUCAAUUUGGCAUUUUACAAUUUUGAUGGAUUUUGAAUAUGGGGGAUAUCCUAAUGCCCUAGGAAUUUUUAAAACCUGUUUCAGAAGGGAAAGAGUAUAGAACGAUUAUGUGUUAAGUAUUUACCAUAAAGAAGGCAGAGUAGACUGUCUGCCCUUAAACAGCUAGCUAUAACCAUCUCAUGUGUCCCUUAUAUCAAACCAUAUGGGAGAGGUUUAAUUGAUUUCCCUUUUCGCAGGGAAGGGAAUUGAGGCACACAGAGGUUAGAUAACUUGGUUAACUGGCCACAGCCAGUAAAGAAUUAGGAUUUAAGGUUAUCUAAUCUGAGCCAAAACCUGUUGAUCAUUCAUUCAGAAGUUACAAAUAUAUACUGAAUUCCGACUCUAUGCCAGGCACUGUGUAUAUGAGUACAUUGUGGUAAGUAAAACAGGUGUGAUCCUUAUUUCUAGUUUGGCGUCAUCAUUAUCAGUCAGGCCAUCAUCUAUUAAACAGAUAUCCCAGAUAUUUUGUUAAGUGUUUUGCUUGCAUUAUCAAUUAAAAUUGUUACAACUGUGUAUUACUAUUAUUAUUUCUAUCUUAUAGAUGGGGAGACUGUGGCUCAAUGAGGUCAAACAAUUUGCAAUCAGGGAGUAGGGAUGCUGUGAAUAUGGCCAUCAUCUCACUGGCUCACUGUGAAAAAAAGUCAAAGAAGAAAAACUAAGGCCUUCCUUUCUUGUCACCCAUCAAUGUUGGCAGAGAUGGAAAAAACACAAAAAAUAAACUAGAUCAAAGCUAUACUCAACUUCAAGAUGACUGUUCACUGAGAAAUGUGAAAUUAAUAUGAAAUAUGAAAGAAAACUCUUACUAUGUAAAUGAAUCACAGAAUCCAAGAAAGAUGUGCUGGAUGGGAACUAGAGAUCAUCUAGAUUGCAUUCUGUCUAAUCAGAUCAUAUGAAGGGUCAUCAGCGAACUCCAUCUUGCUAAACAUCUGACAAAGGACUAAAAUCCAGAAUCUACAAGGAACUCAAACAAAUCAGCAAGGAAAAAGCAAAUAAUCCCAUCAAAAAGUGGACUAUGGACAUGAAUACACAAUUCUCAAAAGAAGAUAUACAAAUGGCCAACAAACAUGAAAAAAUGCUCAGCAUCACUAAUUACAAGGGAAAUGCAAAUCAAAACCACAGUGCAAUACCACCUCACUCCUGCCAGAAUGGCCAAAAUCAAAAGAUUAAAAGAAAUAGAUUUUGACAGGGAUGUGGUGAAAACAACACUUUUAACACUGUUGGUGGAAAUGUAAUCUAGUACAACCACUAUGAAAAACAUGGUGGAUAUUCCUUAAAGAACUAAAAGUAGAACUACCAUUUGAUCCAGCAAUCGCACUACUGGGUAUCUACCCAGAUGAAAAGUCAUCAUACAAAAAAAUAUACCUGCACAUGCAUCUUUUUAGCAGCACAAUUUGCAAUUGCGAAAAUAUGGAACCAGCCCAAAUGUCCAUCAAUCAACAAGUGGAUAAAGAAAUUGUGGUGUAUGUAUAUAUAUAUCACAGAAUGCUACUCAGCCAUAAAAAGGAACGGAAUAAUGGCAUUCAUAGCAACCUGUAUGGAAUUGGAAACCAUUAUUCUAAGUGAAGUAACUCAGGAAUGGAAAACAAAACGUCUUACAUUCUCUCUCAUAAGUGGGAGCUAAGCUAUGAGGAUGCAAAUACGUAAGAAUGAUACAACGGACUUUGGAUACUUGGGGAAAGGGUGGGAAGGGGGUGAAGGAUAAAAGGCUACACAGUGGAUACAGUGUACACUGCCCGGGUGAUGAGUGCACCAAAAUCUCACAAAUCACCACUAAAGAACAUAUUCAUGUAACCAAACACCAUCUGUUCCCCCAAAAACCUAUUGAAAUAAGAAACAAAACAACAACAAAAAUAUAUGUGGCUCAAGCCUGCA